rnacentral:rRNA from 1 species
GAGGAAUAUUGGUCAAUGGACGAGAGUCUGAACCAGCCAAGUCGCGUGAAGGAUGACUGCCCUACGGGUUGUAAACUUCUUUUGUAUGGGAGUAAAAAAGUGGACGUGUCCAUUAUUGCAAGUACCAUACGAAUAAGCAUCGGCUAACUCCGUGCCAGCAGCCGCGGUAAUACGGAGGAUGCGAGCGUUAUCCGGAUUUAUUGGGUUUAAAGGGUGCGUAGGCGGGAUGAUAAGUCAGCGGUGAAAGUUUGAGGCUCAACCUUAAAAUUGCCGUUGAAACUGUCUUUCUUGAGUAUAUUUGAAGUAGGCGGAAUUCGUGGUGUAGCGGUGAAAUGCAUAGAUAUCACGAAGAACUCCAAUUGCGAAGGCAGCUUACUAAACUAUAACUGACGCUGAAGCACGAAAGCGUGGGUAUCAAGCAGGA